rnacentral:rRNA from 1 species
AUGAACGCUGGCGGCGUGCCUAAUACAUGCAAGUCGAACGCGCAGCGAGAGGUGCUUGCACCUUUCAAGCGAGUGGCGAACGGGUGAGUAACACGUGGAUAACCUGCCUCAAGGCUGGGGAUAACAUUUGGAAACAGAUGCUAAUACCGAAUAAAACUUAGUAUCGCAUGAUAUCAAGUUAAAAGGCGCUACGGCGUCACCUGGAGAUGGAUCCGCGGUGCAUUAGUUAGUUGGUGGGGUAAAGGCUUACCAAGACGAUGAUGCAUAGCCGAGUUGAGAGACUGAUCGGCCACAUUGGGACUGAGACACGGCCCAAACUCCUACGGGAGGCUGCAGUAGGGAAUCUUCCACAAUGGGCGCAAGCCUGAUGGAGCAACGCCGCGUGUGUGAUGAAGGCUUUCGGGUCGUAAAGCACUGUUGUAUGGGAAGAAAUGCUAAAAUAGGGAAUGAUUUUAGUUUGACGGUACCAUACCAGAAAGGGACGGCUAAAUACGUG